rnacentral:rRNA from 1 species
AUUGAACGCUGGCGGCAUGCCUAACACAUGCAAGUCGAGCGAGCGGCGGACGGGCGAGUAGUGUAUGGGGAUCUGCCCGAUAGAGGGAGAUAACUACUGGAAACGGUGGCUACUAGCGCAUACUAUCGGUUGAACCCAUAUGGGAUUAGCUAGUAGGUGGGGUAAAGGCUCACCUAGGCGACGAUCUCUAGCUAGUCUGAGAGGAUGAUCAGCCACACUGGGACUGAGACACGGCCCAGACUCCUACGGGAGGCAGCAGUGGGGAAUAUUGCACAAUGGGCGCAAGCCUGAUGCAGCCAUGCCGCGUGUAUGAAGAAGGCCUUAGGGUUGUAAAGUUCUUUCAGCGGGGAAGCGUUACCCGCAGAAGAAGCACCGGCUAACUCCGUGCCAGCAGCCGCGGUAAUUC